rnacentral:misc_RNA from 1 species
AGCGUCAUUACACCCCUCAAGCGUAGCUGGUAUUGGGUCUUCGCCCCCGCGGCGUACCCGAAAAGCAGUGGCGGUCCGGUGUGACUUUAAGCGUAGUAAAUUUUCAUCCCGCUUGGAAAGUUCGCACCGAGGCUUGCCAGACAACCUCAUUGAUUUCAAUAAUUGACCUCGGAUCAGGUAGGGAUACCCGCUGAACUUAA